UACGAAGGGUGCAAGCGUUACUCGGAAUUACUGGGCGUAAAGCGUGCGUAGGUGGUUCGUUAAGUCUGAUGUGAAAGCCCUGGGCUCAACCUGGGAAUGGCAUUGGAAACUGGCGACCUAGAGUGCGGUAGAGGGCAGUGGAAUUUCCGGUGUAGCAGUGAAAUGCGUAGAGAUCGGGAGGAACAUCUGUGGCGAAGGCGACUGCCUGGACCAGCACUGACACUGAGGCACGAAAGCGUGGGGAGCAAACAGG
rnacentral:rRNA from 1 species